rnacentral:lncRNA from 1 species
CUGCCUUCUCUGGACUUGCUGCCUGGAACACCUACAGUAACAGUGUUUCUUUAGAUGGUGAGGAUCUUAUCUUGACAAGUUUAAAUUAGAUUAAUAUACAGAAAUCUUGUUUCUAAAACCCUUUAAACAAAUUGCAUCGUUUGAAUAAUCGUUUGGCUCUGAUACCAUUUUAAUAUAACGAUUCCUUAAUAAUUUGUUUUAAUUAUUGUAACGUUAUUACUAUUUUGAUAUACAAAAUUUUGGAAUUUGAUAUUUAUAAGAAUUUGAGCGUUGUACACAGAAUAUGAUUAAAACUUACUUUUAUUUAUCUUGAGUUGUGAUACAAUCUUUGAUUACAAACUUAAAACUUAGAAAACACAGGAAAUUUCAGAGAGAAGGGAGAGCUUUUAGAGAGUGAAGGUUUUUUGAGAGUGAAAUUUGCUCGUGUCCUCUUCCUUGAGCAUAAUUACGUAUUUAUAGACAAAGAGUGCUUGAAUAAAGUCUUGCAACGUGUCGUCUUCUAGUGGUGCCGACACUUGAUUUAAUACGUGUUGAGUCUUGAGUGGUGCCGACAAUUGCUGUCAAAAACUGUUGUUGUUUUGUGCAGAAGUCUUUGUGUGAGUCCCAUGUGGGUCCCGCCAUUGUCGGUUGGAUUCUUUCUCGAAAUUCUUGCAUAGCUUUUCCGCGAGUCUUGUUAUACAGAUAUACUCUGUAUAUUAUUUUGUAGAUAGUAGUAAUAAAAUACAGAGAAGAAAAUACAGAAAUAAUGUACAGAGUCUACUAGAAUAUACUUAAAACCGAAAUUGUAAAUAUAGACAUACUUUUAGGUUUUUUUUUUUUUUUUUUUUAGAAUAUACUUAAAACCGAACUUGUAAAUAUAGACAUACUUUGAGGGUUUUUUUUUUUUUUUUUUUUUUUUUUUUUUUUUUUUAUACUUAAAACCGAACUUGUAAAUAAAGACAUACUUUUUUGAUUUGUCUUGUUGUUGGUUUAAAGAUUGGGUAGGUCGUUGAUGAGAAAGGGUGUUGAGUGUGUUGGUCCACUUUUCCUUUUUCAUUAAUAUUUAUUUUAUUAUCAAUGCUGUCUAUCUGUUUAGAAAUUGUAUGUAGUAUUUGACUUUGAUAAUUGUUCUGUUGAUAUAUAGAUUUAAUAUCUUGCAUUAACACUGGUUCUUUAUCAUCUUUGUUAGCUCCAGUUUUAAAGGGUGUAGCUAAAAUUUGUCGGUUUAAAGUAUUUAUCUUUAAAUCAUUUAAAGGUGGAUGAAUUGCUUUAAUUUUAUUUCCAUCCACUUGUUCCCAUACUUGGCUUAAUGAUACACUCGCAUUAAUCGUCUUGAAUGGAUAAUUGAUAUUAUGAGCUAUUGAAUAAAUUUCAAACCAUACGAAAAAUGGAAUAUUCAUUUCUUUUAGUAUCAUACAAUCAUACCAUUUUUCUCUGUACUCAUUGGUUUGUUGUUUAGAGAAAGUUUUAAAAUACCAACCUCGUUUUUCUUCAUUUUCUUUUGAAUAAAAGUCUUCUCUUAUAUAUUGUUUAUCAAUUUCGUAUUUUUUAGUUAUAACAUUUAUUGAUCUAAAAUCUGAUGGAGUAGGUGAUGUUGGAUAUGCAUCUUGAUCUGGUUCUGCUAUUGGUGCUUUAAAUCUUAUCGGUUCAUCUUGUUUAGUGUUUUGAUUUACACUUUCCGUUUCUGAAUUUGUACUGGAUUGACCCGUACGAUAUUCAGAAAAAGAGGCUCUUGAAUGAUACGAACUUAUUCUAGGUGGAAGUGGAUCCCUAUAAGAUCCAAACCUUAAUAAUAUUUUUCCAUCUUUCUGCUCAAUUAUUUUAGAUAUAUUCUUUUGCUCAAAAUUUCUAGGCGGUUGAGUAAUUUCAAUUUUCCAUUGAUCUGGAAUAGUUAUUUCAUCCCAUUUUAAUUGCUUUGGUGUGUAUGUAGCUGUUGGUGUAUCUUUACUAUGGACUGCUAGAAUUGUUGUUUCUCCUUUAUCAUCUUGUAAUAGACAUCUUGGGUUAAACUCAGAAGUUGAUUGCUUAAAAUAAACUCGAUAAAGUAGAAGAUAUCCAUGUCUUUCAUUUUGAAAUUUUAUUUCAGGUAAAUGUACAUUUAAAGUUAAAGUAUUGAGUAUGGUUGGGUCAUGCAAGCUUACUUGAAAGUUAGGGGCACAAUUAAAAUAUACAGCACCAUUGCAUAAAUUUGAUUGUACUGCUCCUAAAAGAGAGUCUUCAAAUUUUAAGAGAGCUUUAUCUCUUAAUAACAUUAAUAUUGGCGAGUCUAUACCUGUUCUUGAUAAGGGUUUUAUAGCAAUUUGGAUUAGACCAAAAUGAAUGUAAUUAAAUCCUUUUUGCUUAUAUUUUUCCAAAGCUAGAGAAGAUAAUAACUUAAUUUCUUCAAAUUCAUUUUGUAGAGACAAAGUUUGCUCAUGUUCUUUAAUUGAAUAAGCUGUUUUAAAAUCAAAAGUUCCUAUUUGAUAUAUAUGUUCUGGAUUAAUAUGCGGUAAAUGAUCUCUUGAUAUUUCUUGAUUAAACGUUGUUAUUUUUUGACAUAAUUUCUCUUGAGUUAAUUGUUGAAUUUGAAGAGGUUGAUGCAUUUUUUGAUUUAAAAAGUUUUCUAAACGAAGACGCCAUGAUUUAAUCUAUAUUUAAACUCAUUAUAGAAGAGAUACUAACCGAUUCUAAUUGGACACAACUGAGGUUUACCAACGGUCUUACUGCCUUCUCUGGACUUGCUGCCUGGAACACCUACAGUAACAGUGUUUCUUUAGAUGGUGAGGAUCUUAUCUUGACAAGUUUAAAUUAGAUUAAUAUACAGAAAUCUUGUUUCUAAAACCCUUUAAACAAAUUGCAUCGUUUGAAUAAUCGUUUGGCUCUGAUACCAUUUUAAUAUAACGAUUCCUUAAUAAUUUGUUUUAAUUAUUGUAACGUUAUUACUAUUUUGAUAUACAAAAUUUUGGAAUUUGAUAUUUAU